AGUGAACGCUGGCGGUAGGCCUAACACAUGCAAGUCGAACGGCAGCACAGUAAGAGCUUGCUCUUACGGGUGGCGAGUGGCGGACGGGUGAGGUAUACAUCGUAAUCUACUUUUUCGUGGGGGAUAACAUAGGGAAACUUACGCUCAUACCGCAUACGACCUACGGGUGAAAGCAGGGGAUCUUCUCACCGUUCGCGGUUGAAUGAGCCGCUGUCGGAUUAGUUCGUUGGCGGGGUAAAGGCCCACCCAGGGGACGAUUCGUAGCUGGUCUGAGAGGAGGGUCAGCCACCCUGGAACGGGACCACGGUCCGGACGACUAAGGGAGGCAGCAGUGGGGAAUAUUGGACAAUGGGCGCAAGCCUGACACAGCCAUACCGCGUGGGUGAAGAAGGCCUUCGGGUUGUAAAGACCUUUUGUUGGGAAAGAAAAGCAGCGGGUUAAUACCCAGCUGUUCUGACGGUACCCAAAGAAGAAGCACCGGCUAACUUCGUG
rnacentral:rRNA from 1 species